rnacentral:rRNA from 1 species
GGAGGUAGUGACAAUAAAUCACAAUGCGGGACUAUACGUCUUGCAAUUGGAUUGAGAACAAUGUACAACUCUUAUCGAUAAGCCAUUGGAGGGCAAGUCUGGUGCCAGCAGCCGCGGUAAUUCCAGCUCCAAUAGCGUAUAUUAACGUUGUUGCAGUUAAAAAGCUCGUAGUUGAAGUGUGGGUGAUCGCUGUUGUGAGACUUCGGUCUCUCGACAGUAAGUCACCCCCUUCCAGUAUCCAGUAGUGGGUAUUCAGUUACUUACUAUUGUGUGUUGGUCCUUUACUGUGAGAAAAUUAGAGUGUUCAAAGCAGGCGUUUGCUUGAAUAGAUUAGCAUGGAAUAAUAAUUGAAGGCUUUCGUGUUCGAUUUGAUUGGUUUGUUCAUGGAAGCAAGGUUAAAAGGAACAGUUGGGGGUAUUCAUAUUCACUAGUUAGAGGUGAAAUUCUCGGAUUUAUGGAAGAUGAACAAGUGCGAAAGCA